CUUCAACGCGCCCAGCCACAGGGGCCGUUCGGCGGAGUGUGCCGGCCCGUAGGCGGCGAUCAGGGCCUGGGCCUC
rfam:Streptomyces rubellomurinus strain ATCC 31215 contig-149, whole genome shotgun sequence.